rnacentral:lncRNA from 1 species
GUUGUGGCAAAUACAUUGACAAACAAACAUAAUGAAACAUAAUGAAAACUCGACAAUAUUAUAAGAAAUAUGAUAAAAACAGUUACUGUUCUCCUUUCCUCAGUUCUAAUGACUCUUUAAUAAAAGAAACAACUGCUUUUACAUCAUUUGGUGUUGAUGGAUUAAGUAUUAUUACGAGUUUAUCAGUAAAAUUAAGUGUAUUAAAAUUUACAUAUUUUUGUAUAUAAUAUUUUAGAAAGAUUUCUCUUAUAUUUUUAUUUAUUUUACAGUUGAAGAAAAAAUGAAAUUCAUCGUCUAAGAUAUUACAUAUUUUACAUUUUCUUUCAUUUCGUGGUAUUUUGGUAUAUCGUCCAGUUUCUAUGAAGAGACAAUGUUCGCUUAUUCUAAAUUUGGUUAACAUUUUUCUUGUCUCUUUACUUGGGUGUGAUAGGUAGUAUUGCAUUUGGUUAUUUAUAUUAGAUUUAAGAAAUUUAUAUAGAUAUAUUUUAUUAUUUUCAUUUAAGUUAUUUAUUUUAUCAUCAAUAACAGUUUGAUAAUAGUUGAUAUAACUUUUUUU